CACAUCAGGAUUAAAUAUGCUGUCUUAGACGUGACAGAACUGUCAGGUGUAUGGGAAUUCUAAUCUGUGGGGAAAUCUGAGGUCAGCACCAGCUGGGAUCUGAAGCGAGGAUGGUGCAGGGAGAGAGAGUCUGGAGCAUCUGGUACACCUGAGAUGCUGUCCUGACGACCUGCUCACAUCCAGUGAAGAAGUCCCCGGGUGAGAAAAAAGCUAACUCACAAAUUGUCCGAGGGACUCCUCUCUAUUGUUUCCUUACUUUAUUUAAGUGUUAGGCUCACAAAUCUAGACUGUUCUUUGAAAGCUGUGGCAUAGGUCGAAGAUGUGGCUCAGAAUCAGUCCCUGGCCCAGGAGCUUCUAUAUGCCUCAGGUUUGGCCAUAAAGCAAAACAACACAAAAUGAAACAAAAUAAAACCUAAAUAUAGAACUAUCAUAUGAUCCAGCAAUCCCACUCCUGGGCAUAUAUCUGUAGAAAACCAUAAUUCAAAAAGAUGCAUGCACCUCAGUGUUCAUUGCAGCACUAUUUACAAUAGUCAAGACAUGGAGGCAACCUAAAUGUCCAUCAACAGAGGAAAGGAUGAAGAAGAUGUGGUUAUAUAUAUACAUACAUACGUACAAUGGAAUAUUACUCAGCCGUAUAAAAGGGCAAAGUAAUGCCAUUUGCCAUAAAUGGACUCAGAGAUUAUCAAAAUAAGUGAAGUAAGUCAGAACGAGAAAGACAGACAUCAUAUGAGAUCAUUAAUAUGCAGAAUCUAAAAAAAAUGCUAUGAAGAACAGUAUGGAGUUACCUUAGAAAUCUAUACAUAGAACUACCAUAUGACCCAGCAAUCCCUCUCUUGGGCAUAUAUCCGGACAAAACUUUCCUUAAAAAAGACACAUGCACCCACAUGUGUAUUGCAGCACUAUUCACAAUAGCCAAGACAUGGAAACAAACCAAAUGUCCAUUGACAGAUGAUUGGAUUAGGAAGCUGUGGUAUAUAUACACAAUGGAAUACUACUCAGCCAUAAAAAAGAAUGACAUAAUGCCAUUUGCAGCAACAUGGAUGGAACUAGAGACUCUCAUACUGAGUGAAAUCAGUCAGAAAGAGAAAGAUAAAUACCAUAUAGCAUCACUUAUAACUGGAAUCUAAUGAACAUUUCCAUAAAAAAGAAAAAUCGUAGACUUGGAGAAUAGACUUGUGGUUGCCCCGGGGGGAGAGGAAGGGAGUGGGAGGGAUCGGGAGCUUGGGGUCAUCGGAUGCAAACUAUUGCUCUUGGAAUGUAUUUACAAUGAGAUUCUGCUGUGUAGCAUUGAGAACUCUGUCUAGAUACUUACAUUGCAACACAACAAUGGGAGGAAAAAGUAUGUAUACAUGUAUGUGUAACUUGGUCCCCAUGCUGUACAGCAGAAAAAAAAUGAAUUAAAAAAAAGAACUUAUUCAGAAAACAUAAAUAGACUCAAGGAUUUUUAAACCAAAUUUAUGGUUACCAAAGGGGAAAUAUUUGGGGGAGGGAUAAAUUAGGAGGUUGGUAUUAACAUAGACACACUACUAUAUAUAAAAUGGGUAAGUAACAAGGACCUACUGUAUAGCACAAGGGAAUCUACUCAAUACUCUGUAAUAGCCUAUGUGGAGAAAGAAUCUGGAAAAGAAUGGAUACAUGUAUAUGUACAACUGAUUCACUUUGCUGUACACCUGAAACUAACACAAUAUUGUAAGUCAACCAUAGUCCAAUAAAAUUAAAAAUCUUUGAAAAAUGUUAAAAGAAUAAAUAUUCUCUUAAGAACAAUAAGAUGGGUUAUUUUCAAUCAUGAUGGUUUCAGAAAAUCUGAAUGUAUAUAAUUAUUAUGCGUAUUUGGAGACACGUCACGACAAAUCACGUUUCAGAUCAGCUCUGGUGGGGCUAUGAUGGUCUCGAAGCCCUUACUCGCUUUCUUUGUCUGCACACCUCCUGGUACAGAUGCCCACCUUGGCUCUCCUGGUCUAGUUUGCAACACAGGGCAUGGAGCUGGCCAUUGAAACAGAGAAGGAAAGGAGAGCCUCUAUUUCCUUCAUUCUUCUUCCCAAUUACUGCUGAACAGCCUACACACCUGCCAAAAUAAUUUGAAAGGAGCUCGGUGUUCGGGCAAGGUCAGAGCCGAACAAUGGGACCCCCAUAUGCAGAAGCACCUCAGCAGUCACUGAGAUUUAUGAUAUUAAUUCCCACACUUUCUCAUAAAAGCAGCAGAAGGUGUGCUUCCUAUAUGUCAGGAGAACUGGGCUUGGGUCCCCAGCGUUGGCGCCUAUAAUCAAAGCCAAUAGGCACCCCCUCCCCCCAGGGCAGAGACCAGCACGAGUACAGUUGUCACCUGUCCUGGGGUAACCACUCUGUCCCAGGCGUUCCUUCUCCUCUACACUGCAGGAGCCAAUUCUGUCACUUCUCGUUAGGAUCAGAGUUAGCAGGAAGAUGUUAAAAGUAAGACUUUAUAAGUCGAAGAGCCCCGGGAAAAAAUUUGGCUGGAAGUCUAGGUUUUGGAAGACAUUAGACUCAGAACGGGUAUGUUGACAGGUUGUGAGCAGCCAAGAAUAAACCUUCUCUUGUGCCACAGAGUCACAAGACCCUUUGGUACACUCAUUAAGAACUGAAAACGCCAUAAUAAGUUCCAUAUUUCACAAGUGGAGUCUCAUACCAGAGAUAUUUCUCCGUCAGUCUGUACAUGCUCCAUGCUUAUAUUUCAUCUCUGGAACGGUUGCAGGUAUAUUCUGAGUUCUUCAUGCUUUUUAAGGUACCAGAUGUGCCUGCCACAGAAAAUGUUCAGAUGUCUCAUGCUUUUCCAUGGUGCAGGGGUUGGCUUUGAUUUUUUCCUAGCACACAGUAUAGAUUUUAAAUAGAAUCAGUGUAUAACAAGUCAGAUUGUUCCACUGCAUUAUUAUAAUUGAAUGGCUGUUAAAAAAAAUCCACCUUUUGAAUGAAGAAGAUUGUUGGUAGAAGAGCUUCAUUUUUUUUUAAAAGAAAUAUCAAUUUCAUGACGAACAAGAGAAAAACAACUGUGGUCUUAAACUAAACAAAGAAAAUCAGGCUCCAGAAAACUUAUGUUAGUCCCACUGCAAAGCCAACAUUUGAAAGUUGCCAAGAGACUCUUGUUAAAAAAAGAGAAUUAAUGCAGACAUGUCACAGUUAUGUGACAGAUAGGAACUGUGAAAUUCAAGCCUGUGGACAUUUUAAGGAGUUCUUUGGGAAAUUAAAAAUCGAGGGCAGGACUUCCAUUUCUAGUAGCUUGGGGAGUAGAUAGCAUUUAAAAUCAUACUAACAAAAAAAGUCUUGAAGAAUAGUUCUACUUAAAAAGAAGGAAAAAACAUAUAUUUGAGUCUAAUUCGUGGCUUUUAAGACACAAUAUAUUAAUCAAAGGUAACGUAAACUAAUAAAAGGGUUAUCUAAAUUUAAGUUUCCAAAAUUCCUUAUCCUAUUCUGAAAUAGAAUUUAAAAUAUCCAUUAAUUAUAGAUGUUAGUAGGUUGUUCAUACAUAGUAAAUUUCUAUGGUAACUGCAAAAAAAAUCCAGAAUGUAUACCUUCUAAAAAUAAAAGUAAAGAAAGUCAGGCAUUACAAAAUAAGCAAUAAAGUGACAAAAAUGAAAUAGAGAAAAAACCAGAAUAGAAAGCUUACAGUUAGAGAGUGGAUUGUGAUGAUCAGUGUACAACUACAAAUGUAAUAAAUUCAUUGAG
rnacentral:lncRNA from 1 species